ensembl:lncRNA
UUUCUAAUGAAUGAAAAAAAGAGAAACUUUCCAUGUAUAUACCUGACAUUUCUUUGUUGCCAGUAAGGUAAUUUCUUGAUUUUUUUUCUCCAGCACUAGCUUCUGUCAGGAGCAGAUUGCUGGAGCUGAUGCUGGCUGCUAAUUCAAGUUGCACUUCUGCUGUGCAACUGUAAGGUGAAGGAGACAUUGUGAAGAAACCGAAAAGAUGGGUAAAAGACACAGAAAUAUUUCCCUCUGAGAAGCUGCUUAGAGCAAGGAUGUGCAGCCAUGUAUUUCCUCCUGGAGUGCCAAAAAGCACACAUACUGCACCCACCAGAGAGAUGUGAGACUGAUGGCUUAGGAUACACACACACAGGUCUGCUGGAUCAGGAACAGCAGCUGAGAAGAGAACUGGUCUAGAGAGGAGCAGUCAGACUGCUCUUGGAAGGUGGAUUGCUGGAUGAGGUUUGCUAUUACCACCUUUUUUAUUGCAUCCCUGCCUUAUAGAAGGCGCCCACAGCUGUCAUGGACCCCCUUGUAGUCAGCUGAAUAAGCACAGUUUCCAGUUUUAAAUGUGAUUCCUUUCAUAGCUUUCGAUUUUCCUGUCACCUCAGAAUUAAUAUUUUGGUAAUACUUCCACAUGCUGUCUUCCAGGGGCUCAUACCCAUUUAUUUUUUUCAAAAGCUGCUGAAACAAACUGAAACUCUAACAGAUCUUUGUUUCCCUGCUACCUAGGCUACUCUUGAAAGCUUUAAGCUGUAAGACGUUACAUUAAAAACAAAAUCAACGUUUAUAUGUGCCAUUUUAACCCCAAAAAAUUGUCUUGAAGUUGCAAGUUUUGACAUUCGUCCUGCUCAGAGCAGCAAGAUUACAGCAGAAUUGGUCCUAUGGUCUGUGUAAGCAUCAUAAUCAGAGGGCAACUCUUCCCAGUUCAGUCACAGUUAUGGUGCAGAAAAUUCCAUCUCGAGUAAGGAAGAGAAUAUUGAAGAAAAUAUUUAAAUUUCAUAAUACUUAAUGUAACACAGAAUUAUCCCAGAAUGCACAUCUGAGACAGCAUAAUCUGGGAAUUAGCUGGAGAGACAAUAGCAG